ensembl:lncRNA
CCUGGUGGCUGGAUCUGAGUUGUCAAGAUAGAAUGUCACCAUCCGGAGAGACAAGAGGGCUCCAAAAGCCCUGGAACAGUCCUGAUUCUUGUCAGACUGUGGAAAAAGAGCAUAAAUAGGGAAACGAGGAUUGCCUGUAUUCAUUUGCUGUCAGAGCUGCCUUUGAACUUCAGGAAAGCCACCAUCUUGUUUUGUUCACUUCGCUAAAGCUUAGUGUCUGCCACAUGAAACACCAGGUCUUCAGAAGCAGGGAUGUGUUUUCCUUUCACUUCAAUGGACCUUUCGACAGCUUCUGAGUUUUCUAUUCCUUCUCACUUAAAGGCUGGAUUACAGUCGACCUGAUCAGAUUAUAUCGGCUUUGUGAAAAUGUGAAGAAAAAUCCAGAAUGUUGAGAAGUGGGAAAAGAAGAGAAUUCCAAUGAUGAUUAUUUGAAUCUGCCUGGGUUAUGGAGAAUGUAAAGCUGGACUAUUCAAAGUUGUCAAUGCAUUCCUAGAGCAAUACAAGUCUGUGACAUUUGUUUAAAGCCUGUUUACCUAUAUUUAAAAUCAGAUUUGAGCCUGGAAACUCAUAGGUAAAGCAGUGAUCUAAGUUGUGCUCAGAGUUAUUAAUUUCCCAUAUUGUUUCAAUGGUAAAUGUGCUUGGUUCCCAUAGAACAGCUGUUGAAUUGCCAUGGGGGGAAAAUACAUGGAUUCCACUGUUG